rnacentral:rRNA from 1 species
GACGAACGCUGGCGGCGCGCUUAACACAUGCAAGUCGAACGGAAAGGCCUGCUUUCCCUUGUGGAUUGCGGGUACUCGAGUGGCGAACGGGUGAGUAACACGUGAGUGAUCUGCCCCCAACUUGGGUAUAAGCCUGGGAAACUGGGUCUAAUUCCCGAUAGGACUGCAGGGUGGUUCCUGUGGUGGAAAACGAUUUUCUAGUGGUUGGGGAUGAGCUCGCGGCCUGUCAGCUUGUUGGUGGGGUAAUGGCCUACCAAGGCGGCGACGGGUAGCCGGCCUGGGAGGGUGGACGGCCACAUUGGGACUGGGAUACGGCCCAGACUCCUACGGGAGGCAGCAGUGGGGAAUAUUGCACAAUGGGCGGAAGCCUGAUGCAGCGACGCCGCGUGGGGGAUGACGGCCUUCGGGUUGUAAACUCCUUUCGACCGCGAGGAAGCCACCUGGUUGGAAGGGUGGUGACGGUAGUGGUAGAAGAAGCACCGGCUAACUACGUG